GCAUCCGGGGAUUUGCUGCAGGAAUUACUCUGGGGAUUUGCUCAAGGAUCGGAAAUCCAGAGUCAGCAUCUUCAAAGCAGAUAACAACUCUUCCCAAUCGCCGGUACGCCGAAUUUUUACAUGAACCUGAAUCUGAGACGAGAAAUUAUGGACAUGCUUAUUCGAUGGAGGACAUGCCGGGGUUAUGUCAACCAUGUUGUUGCAAAAAUGGAACGGACUGCUGCAAACAAAGCGAUGGGAAAUUAAAAAAAA